rnacentral:tRNA from 1 species
GCGUCCGUAGCUCAGCUGGAUAGAGUGUCGGCCUCCGAAGCCGAAGGUCGGGUGUUCGAAUCACCUCGGACGCACCA